GAUGAACGCUAGCUACAGGCUUAACACAUGCAAGUCGAGGGGAAACGACAUCGAAAGCUUGCUUUUGAUGGGCGUCGACCGGCGCACGGGUGAGUAACGCGUAUCCAACCUGCCCACCACUUGGGGAUAACCUUGCGAAAGUAAGACUAAUACCCAAUGAUAUCGCUAGAAGACAUCUGAAAGAGAUUAAAGAUUUAUUGGUGAUGGAGGGGGAUGCGUCUGAUUAGCUUGUUGCCGGGGUAACGGCCAACCAAGGCGACGAUCAGUAGGGGUUCUGAGAGGAAGGUCCCCCACAUUGGAACUGAGACACGGUCCAAACUCCUACGGGAGGCAGCAGUGAGGAAUAUUGGUCAAUGGGCGAGAGCCUGAACCAGCCAAGUAGCGUGCAGGAUGACGGCCCUAUGGGUUGUAAACUGCUUUUAUAAGGGAAUAAAGUGAGCCUCGUGAGGCUUUUUGCAUGUACCUUAUGAAUAAGGACCGGCUAAUUCCGUGCCAGCCGCCGCCGUAA
rnacentral:rRNA from 1 species